rnacentral:rRNA from 1 species
CACACCGCCCGUCACACCAUGGGAGUGGAUUGCACCAGAAGUGGGUACGCUAACCGUAAGGAGGCAGCCCCCCUAAGGUGUGAUUCAUGACUGGGGUG